GAUCCUUCUUAGAAAUUCCUAAGGCUCAAUGCUGUGUGGAAGAUUCUGAGAAAGAAAAUAGUUUCUGAUCUUUGGGAUUCCCGAGAUGGUCCAAUCUGCAAAAAGUUCAUUGCCAUUUCCAUCAAGGACACUGAGAACAAGAGUCUUAUCUGGAUUGGAUCCUGGGAAUUGAGAAGCUUCAGCAGGGCUUCCGCUGGGACUAGGAUCAGGAUGUGGACACCCCCAACGUGGACCGUCUGGCCGGGGAGGGCGUCAAGGCCAAGUACCUCAUGCCGCCCCUUGUCACAAUGACCUCCCCGUCCCACUUCACUGCCAUCCCAGGUAUAGACUAGAAGCAAGCCACGGGUCCUGCCUACACUCCAGGGGAGAGGAGAUUACACCUGGCAUUUAUCCAGGGCAAGAACCUAAGGGGUCAUCUCAGAAUUCUGCCUUCCAAAUAGAUCCUCGGUGGAGCUUACAUGCCUGGGCGAGCACCAGCCUUUGUUUAAAGGCAACAGAGAAUGGUGUCCUGGCUCAGACCUCCAGCAAGCCUCCACAAUGAUGGUCCAGUAUCUGAAGCCAGGGCCAAGGCAGCAGGAGCUUCGGGUGCACAUGGGGGCUUCCCCCACUUUGAAGUGAGUCAUCACAUCCGUAUUAGACCCUCGUUGUUGCUUAGGCAAAAAUGAUGAUUUAGAAGAAGAUGGAGAGAA